rnacentral:lncRNA from 1 species
AAAGGAAGAAGAAGGCGACCUUGUGAUAAAGAGGUUUUCCAAUUUUUGGAGGAAGAAGAAAUGAUCUCUCUUCAUCCACGUGCAAAGAGAGAAUUUUGUUUUUUUCUAUCCAAAUCCAGUGAGAGCAAGGUGAGUCAAGGAGUUGUUUUCAUCCCCCUGUUGGUGUAAGCCCUAGAGGCCAAUACUUUUGGUACUUGUAUCAAAU